AACUCACCAGAUAAGACAGCUGAAUGAUAGUCGGGCUGAAGACUCUACUUGACUAGCUGAGAGGGGUGCAUGGCCGUCGUCAGUUCGUACUGUGAAGCAUCCUGUUAAGUCAGGCAACGAGCGAGACCCACGCCAACAGUUGCCAGCUCGUCCUCCGGGAUGGUGGGGACACUGUUGGGACCGCCUCUGCUAAAGAGGAGGAAGGAAUGGGCAACGGUAGGUCAGCAUGCCCCGAAUUAUCUGGGCUACACGCGGGCUACAAUGGGUGGGACAAUGGGUAUCGACACCGAAAGGUGAAGGCAAUCUCCUAAACCCAUCCGUAGUUCGGAUUGUGGGCUGCAACUCGCCCACAUGAAGCUGGAAUCUGUAGUAAUCGUGUCUCAAAAUGGCACGGUGAAUAUGUCCCUGCUCCUU
rnacentral:rRNA from 1 species